rnacentral:rRNA from 1 species
AUACGGAGGGUCCGAGCGUUAUUCGGAAUCACUGGGCGUAAAGGACGCGUAGGCGGGUUGGCAAGUCAGAUGUGAAAUCCUACAGCUUAACUGUAGAACUGCAUUUGAAACUGCUAACCUAGAGUAUGGGAGGGGGAGAUGGAAUUAGUGGUGUAGGGGUAAAAUCCGUAGAUAUCACUAGGAAUACCGAAAGCGAAGGCGAUCUCCUGGAACAUAACUGACGCUAAGGCGUGAAAGCGUGGGGAGCAAACAGGAUUAGAAACCCUAGUAGUCC